CACUACAGAUAAAUGUGUCUUUUUUUCAGGGAGUAAAGGAUAGCAGACGUAAUUAGCCAAGUUUGCAUUGGUGUGAAGGAGGAUGUGACUCGAUCAAAAACUUCCUCUUUCAUGCAUUCUGUUAUUCUAAUUGUUCAGUUCUCUUUAACUGGUGUUUAAAUGGUAUGUUUCGCAUGGUAUAUUAUUGCGUUAUGCCGCCACCUAGUGGCGCAUUUUAUUGUAAAAUUUCGCAUGCAAGCAGGAAGUCGCUUUAGUUUCGUUUAGUAAGCAGGUAGUGAGCGUAUUUCCUGCUUCUCUGCAACGGUAUUCUCAUCAUGCUUCGCUUUGGACAUCAUUCGUCUGUAAGUGAAUGUGCUUAAUUUAAUUUGUGAUAACUCUGUUUAAUUUACAGUACUCAGUGAGGCAGAAGUAUUUCAAUUAUAAAUCAAUCUUGUUUUAGUUUGUUUAAUGCUUGCUAACUAUGCUAGGUUUGUAUUGUACAAUGAUCGCUUUUAAAACGGCAUUAUAAUGCAUUACUUAGUUGUAAGGGAUUUAAGUUCAUUUUAGUCUAUUUUACUAUUACUAAUUGUACAUGUGUAUUUUUAUACAUUUUCUUACGCGAGGGCAGCAUGCUAAUAUUCCUAUUUUCUUAUCUGUUUUAAAUGCGCCUGUCGAUACAUUAGGCAACAUAGGAGGCUGCAUAAGGCGCCAUCUUCUGAGGGGGCGCCAACUUAGCAAACCACCAGCGCCACCCUCUUCCCCGCCCGGUCCGAGGAGCAUGUACAAAACCGGGCAAGAAAAAGUAACAUGCGGUGCUAAAGUUUGAAGCUCGCCUAAAGCGUCGACCGGCACAGCUGUAGGAUAUUGUACAUUGUUUUUCCCCCCUUUGAAGCUGGUGACCCACACUUACCAACACGGCUCUCUGUACAGUUUAGCAGAAGUGAAAUGCAGGCAGGUGGCCGACAGCCGAACAGAGGGGCGUAUGCAGGCUUUGCUGAAGGCGAUGCAGCUUAAGAUGGUUUUGUGGUAAUAAAACAGGCUAUUUUUAA